CUGUGAUCCAGCAACUCCACUGCUGGGUAUUUACCCAAAGGAAACGAAAACAGGACAUCACAACGAUAACUGAACCCCAUGUUUACUGCGGCAUUAUUUACGAUAGCUAAGAUAUGGGAACAACCGAAGCGUCCACGGAUGGAUCCACGGAUAAAGAAGAUGUAUAUAAUAGAAUCUUUUUUGGCGACGAGAAAGAGGGAAACCUUGCCGUUGUGUGACAUCGUGGAUGGACAUUGACGACAUUGUUCUCAGGGAGGUAACCUCCUGGAAGGACUCAUCUGAUUGGGUCAAGCCCAGUUGUUGAAAAAACAUAAAAUAAUAGCGAGCAAAUGAAAUGACAAAUAGGACAAAAGACUGAAUUUUGGAAUGAUAUUUGCACCGUAUUUUUUGGCAGAAGAUAACUGCUAGACCGACCUGCCUAGAGGUGAGACGAAGAUAGCCUGGUCAAACUCUGGUCCUAAACACAAAACCAAGAUGGCACAGAAGAAUCGUUCGUAACGUGCGGAACGGUGGUUGCUUCUCUAUCCCUCGGCCUGUCUCUUGAAAGUUAAUCCCAUUUGUGUCUGUCAGUUUGUCCCCGCACGCAAACACACACACGUGCACGCACACGCACGCCUUUGCCCAGACAGACCAACAAGGACCAGCAACUUGGCUGGCCGGCAGCAUCUGGAAGGUUUCCAGCCCCUUCUGUCAAUCCCCAAAGCGCUGUGCAACCUCACCAGAGGCGCGGUGUAUUUCUAGCCACAGAGGUUCAAGUUUUCGAUCACAAAGACGCAAGGGCUGUGGAGAAAGGGGAAGUCUGAAGCCGAUGCCUUACGUGGGGGACCCAGCUGGGAGGAUGUUUAGCAACCGUAGAUUGGAGCUAAAGAACCACAUCUCCUUCUCGCUUCCUCAGAUGGGAAGGAACUGAGCUGACCGUGUGACGAUGGUGUCAGUGCCGUCCGCGCGGGAGCCCCAGCAAGAAAACCAAGGAAUUUUUUUCUCUGGAUUUGGCGUCCUUCUCCCGAGGGCGCACUGCUCUGAUUUCCAGCUCUGACUUCAGCCCUUUGCUCAAUGAUUCUACUUACGGUUCUCUUCCUGCUUGCGGCCCCCACCCUGCACAUCCAUACACCCACCCACGGGGGGGGCCGGUACGUGCACACACACCCGCAUGCACCCAUUACGUAGACUUACCCCAGUUGUAUGCAUAUGCGUACAUGCAAGACCAGACAGACGCACAGCUGCACAGACACUCAGAUAAACACACUUACCCACACACGGGCACACACGUGCUGUCACACUCAGACACAGACUGACCCAUCUAUCCACAUCUGCAUAUACACGUUCUUACAACGGUAAGUGCACACACUCUGGAACGCAGACAUGCGUGCACAAAUACACGCAACGUUCAGAGGCACACGUGUGCACGUGACUUCUUGGCAGAAAUUCCAACCUACAUGUCCCGUCGGCGGUGCAUGUGGACUUUAUUUCUCGAUUGUUGUGGACCCUUUCCUUAUUUUCCUGCAUACUUAGGUAAUCGUAGUUCUGAAGAAGUGAAAAAUGCCAAACAGGCAGAGCACCUGAGCGGGGGACAGGGGAGCCCAACGCCAGCCCUCAUGAAGGAUGGGGGACGGGGAGGGGCAGGGAGCUGUGCUGACACAGACUUUGGGUUUGGGUCAUGAAGCCCUUGGGUGGUCCUCGGUGGUCCUCCCGGUGCCAGAAGCAGGAGCAGACCCCACACCCCGGUUGCCCCGGUCUCUGCAGUGUUGAAUGCCUUGCGGUCAUGGGAGCCACAUCCCCCAUCACUACGUGUCCUCGGACCCAGCUACCUCUCUGGGGAGGGCCGCUUUUCCUGCAUCUAGAUCGCCCUGUGGUGCGUGGAUGUGGUCCACGCUCCCCUACCGUGGAGAUCCGUAGCGGCAGUUUAGGUAGCGACAUCGAACUUCCCAACCUCAGGGAGGACAGAAGUCUUCCUCUCUACUUCGGCUGGACGCAGCUACACUUGGACCGGGGAAUGCGAACAAUCACAGUGGCUCCUGCACGAAAUUCCCCUGUGUACAUCAAGAGCGGGGUGGGUGGAGCGCCCGGGUCCCGGGGCGGGUGCCAGCGCAGGCUGGCGUCAGGAUCGCUGAUGGGUAUGUUGCUCUGCAGUCCGUCUCGGCCUGGGCAGAGCCCCUGGAGGAUAGGUAGGUUCUGUAAUGGCCGUGCUUUUGUGGGACCUGUGCACUCAUACUUCAUUUUGCAGAGGCAGUUCCGGGGGCUCUACCUGAGAAGAUAAGGCUGCUCUCGGGAGAGGUGCAGGCACCAGGGGCCCUGGCUCUCCUUCCGGGGGCUCACACAGCUUGUGUGUGGCCUGCCUUCCUCCCGCGACCUUCCCUUCGUGGCCCCUAAUUCCCAGCUCAGGAGGACAGCUGGGCUAGUGUCACCCUCACUAUUUCCCCUCCUCUGUCUGAGCCCCCAGGAUGAGCAGGGGCCGACGGCAUGUGCCAGGACCUGGCUGUCCUCCCCGCUCCACGUGGAUGCUCGGGGUUGGCAGAGGUGAGCGGCAGACAGAUCUCUCCGUCCCACAGGACCGUCUACUCCAUCCUCCCUGCCUCAUCGAGGGCAGGGCUGCUUGGAGCCAGGGAAGAAACCACCUAAAAAUCUCCUUAAGAAGAAUCGUAAAACUCCCUUCCUUAAGACGUGGGGGCUCCUGUUUCUACAAUUUUUAACCUGCUUGACGAGCCAAUGCCUCCGAUGUCUAUCUGAAAGUGUCCUCUAGGGUGGGGACCAGGUGAGGCCGGUGAGGCACCCCAGAAGUGGAAUCGGAGGAGGCACUCACUCCCAGGUCGGGGAAGAGCAGGGUCACGACCUUGAGACAGAGGCCCCUCAAGUCUCUCACCCUGGGCAUCUCACCUAGUUUCUUCUCUGGUGCUGUCUACUCCCCAUCCCCGAUCCAUUAGGGGGCAUCUGAGGGUGAACAGUUUGAUGUCGAAGCUAGACUUUUAUCUUCUCCUCCUCAAGGGGACAGAAGAACCACCCAAAACAGAAGGUACUCAGGUUCUGAUAAACUGAAUGCAGUUACCAGAUAGCCCAGCAAUUGCACUCUUGGGCAUUUGUCCCAGGGACACAAAGUCCCAGGUGCCCUCCAGGGGGUGAGUGGUUAAGGAAAGGGAGACAUGUCCGCCCCAUGGGCCACCACUCGGUGAUAAAACGAACGAACCACGGAUGCGUUCCACACCUACAGCACAUCCACUCCCGUUUGUGGGUCUUGCAGAUGUCUAGAAGCCAAACUUUGUCAAUGAGCAAGUAACGCCUCGUCCAAACACCAGGGACCAGCACCACUAGACCCGUGGGACACUGGAACAGCAAAACACAUUUUCUCUGGAGGACAUGCUUAACAUUUGAUCAAUGUCUCCAGCAGUCCUUUGUAAAAAAAAGUCCUCUAUAGGUCUUGACUUGUACAUCACUUGUAAGGUGCUUUGUUUGCCUGAUGAUAUCUGGCACAGGACUAGGAACGGGGGGCAAAGCAGACAGCAGGGAAAAGCAGAAGAGCAUGGGACUUCUGAGUAAUUGACAUCUUCGCACAAUUUUAUUUGAGUCCGCAAAACAGAGAAUUACCAGAAGCCCCAAGCAGCUGAGGGUAGGGAACAGAGCAUCAAGCCAGUGCUGGGCUGAGCCUGACAUCUUGGGGAUCAGCCAGCGUGCUCUGUGCGAGCUUAUUGGCCCAGCGCUUCCUGGUGGCUAGACCUUCUCAACCAGGGGUCCCGCAGAGAAAGCAGGACUGUGGAUGCAGUCACGUGGCCAGCAGCCCCACUGGCCUGUCCUCACCCACUGGCCACAUACACAAGUUGGGCUUCCCCAUCAGGAGACCCUUUGGACAGGUACCGGCCCCCCAAAGCUGGUGCUACCUCUCUAGACUUUACAGCAGGAGUCAUGGCAUACCGCUGAAUUUUAUAAGCCAUCAGUUUGAACAACAUAACUUUUAGACAUGUUUCUCAGGGUGUUACUCUGGGUCACAAAAAUAUAACGUGAUCCAGAGAAUAACUCCUUUCCUUUUUUUAAAAAAUGGGGAAACCACAGCACAAACAAGGCUGCUUCCCCAGGUCACAUGGAGAGGUCUGUGUCAGCCUCCAAACAGCCAAGGCAACUCAACCUCACCCAGGCUCAUGACUCAGAAGUGGAAGUCUCUGCCACGAAACCCAAACCCAGAGUCCAAACCCUGCGUGUAAGCGGGAGAGCUUCAAGGGUCAAGGCUCAUGGUCUCACAAGAGAAGUCAGCUCACAGAAGUCAUCACAGGGAAAGAGGAUGCUUUGUCAGUGAAACAAAUAAAAUGACAGAGAGAAUGGCUAUUGCGAGUAUGACAGGGUUGCCAGUUUAAUCGUAAAGAACCGGAAAAAGGUCACAAGAUGUGUUUCCCAGAGAGUCUGCAAAUUCCAGCAGGGUUUUCUUUUUAAUUUUUUUUAAUGUUUAUUUAUUUUUGAGAGAGAGAUAGAACACAAGUAGGGGAGGGGCAGAGAGAAGGGGAGACACAGAAUCCGAAGGAGGCUCCAGGCUCCCAGCUGCCGGCACAGAGCCUGAUUGGGGGCUUGAACCCAUGAACUGCAAGAUCAUGACCUAAAGUUGGACACUUAGUCGACUGAGCCACCCAGGCCCCCCUCCAGCUGGGUUUAAUAGAGCAAUUCUAUGUAUUCCAGCUACCAGUUUGCAGGAGAAGUGCUGGGAAGUGGUUAGAUUCUGGAUAUAUGUUGAAGGCAAAGCAGACAUAAUUUGCAUAGGGUGGAGAUGCAGGGGUGGGGGGAGAAGGGACAGCAAGGAUGAGGCCAAGGCAGUGGCUCUUUGUCUCCAGAUGUGUAGGGGUGUGUGUGACUUCACUGCCCCCUGUCCUGGAGCCCCUUCUGUCACAGGCUUCCCUUUCUUCCUCCAAAACGAGGGGAAAGGGGUGAUGUUGGCUUUUCUUACAGAAGAUGUCAGGAGCCAGUGACCCCCGCGCCCAUGGCCACCCGGCUGUGAGUGUCCAGACCGAAGUCACCCAUCAGCUACACUCAUGCCCGGGAGCAGUUGAUUAGCAAACGUUCCCACUGUCCAGUCCUGGUUGCUGCUACCUAGGAGAUGUUUAGACGGACAAAGCACGGGACAGAUGGCUACCGAGGGACAGCGACAGCUGGCCGUACUUUUCAACCCUUUUGUGGUUGUGACCCACCAGAAGAAAUAUCUUUCACAUCACAAGCCAGGAUGCACACUCAACACACACACACACACACACACACACACACACACACAGCCUUCUGUAUUCUCUUCUCUCCCAUUUAGGUUCAUUUUUUUUUUAAAUACAGCUCAAAACCCACUAACUAGACACACAGUUUUGCAAAUCCCUCGUUCACACAACGCCGGACAAGAAUAUUCUUCCUGCCUGAAACUGAGGACACAGUCUGUGACCCCAGUCACCUGUUGAAGGUGCCCACCGUCCUUGGAGGAAGGUUGCAGAAGCAGAGGCAGGUAGGUGCCUUUAGGAGACGCUCUUGCCCUGCAGGUACUGAGUUUGCAAGAGAAAUGCCAAGAAAUCUGACUUUAGUCCUCCUGGGGUCCCAGGACCAUGCCCUUGGGCUCAAGUCAUCACCCAGCCCCGUGGUGGCUGCCGGGCUCAGAUGGGGUUACAUCGACCCCUCUUCUGGGAUCGGAGCUCUGGGCGCCGAGUGAGCCACCGUCUUGCUUGUUGUCUCCUCUUGGGGUGGCCAGAGAACCAGCCCAUAGGUCGUUUUCUUACCAUUUUUUAAAGAGAUGAUCUCUAUGGAGACACAGACAGAGGACAACUCAAACAACCAACGCAGAGAAAGGUCCCAGAACGUUACAAGGGCUCAUACUGUCUUGGGACCAAGGCCUUCGGAGAAUGGCAGCUACAAUUGUCACCUUCCAACUGUCCCUUCCUUUCAUGAAGGUCCAGCAAGGGCUUCAUUCUAACCCAUGUUUAUCAGCCACCCGCCACUAACAUCCUUAAGGACCUCAAUUUAAAUUGUUUUCACGGGGCGCCUGGGGGCUCAGCCAGGCAAGCGUCCGACUCUUGAUGUCAGCUCCGCUCUUGAUCUUGGGGUUGUGACUUUGGGCCCCACCCUGAGCCCUGCGCUGGGCAUGAACCCCACUUUAAAAAAAAAAAAAGGAAAGAAAAAACUAGAUUGUUUUUGUAAGUCAGACUUACUAUAUUUUGUAACCAUUGAUCUGUGUUUAUGAUCCGAAGUCCAGCCUUUUCUAUAGGCCCUCCUAUUCGUUGUGCUAACUUUAAAUUUGUGACUCUUGAGUGUUCUAGGUACACAAUCACAUCAUAGGCAACUAAAGAUAGCUCUGCCUCUCUGGUUCUAAAAGCUGUAUCUUUUAUCGUUUCUAGAACUUCUAGAGCCAUGUUAGAACACAGUAGCAGAAUAUGGCAGGAAUCCAUCUCUGAUUUUAUUGGAAAUGCUGCCAGUUCCUCAUCCUUAAAGCAUAAUAUUGUCUGUUUGGUAGAAAUUACCCAAAAAGAAUGGCGGUUGAACUUUAUUGAAUGCCUCUUCAGCAUCUAUUGA